GCCUAACACAUGCAAGUCGAGCGGCAGCACGGGGAGCUUGCUCCCUGGUGGCGAGCGGCGGACGGGUGAGUAAUGCAUAGGAAUCUGCCCGGUAGUGGGGGAUAACGUGGGGAAACCCACGCUAAUACCGCAUACGUCCUACGGGAGAAAGCGGAGGAUCUUCGGACUUCGCGCUAUCGGAUGAGCCUAUGUCGGAUUAGCUAGUUGGUAAGGUAACGGCUUACCAAGGCGACGAUCCGUAGCUGGUCUGAGAGGAUGAUCAGCCACACUGGGACUGAGACACGGCCCAGACUCCUACGGGAGGCAGCAGUGGGGAAUAUUGGACAAUGGGCGAAAGCCUGAUCCAGCCAUGCCGCGUGUGUGAAGAAGGCUUUCGGGUUGUAAAGCACUUUCAGCGAGGAAGAAAGCCUGGUGGUUAAUACCCAUCAGGAAGGACAUCACUCGCAGAAGAAGCACCGGCUAACUCCGUGCCAGCAGCCGCGGUAAUACGGAGGGUGCGAGCGUUAAUCGGAAUUACUGGGCGUAAAGCGCGCGUAGGUGGCUUGGCACGCCGGUUGUGAAAGCCCCGGGCUCAACCUGGGAACGGCAUCCGGAACGGCCAGGCUAGAGUGCAGGAGAGGAAGGUAGAAUUCCCGGUGUAGCGGUGAAAUGCGUAGAGAUCGGGAGGAAUACCAGUGGCGAAGGCGGCCUUCUGGCCUGACACUGACACUGAGGUGCGAAAGCGUGGGUAGCAAACAGGAUUAGAUACCCUGGUAGUCCACGCCGUAAACGAUGUCGACUAGCCGUUGGGACCUUUAAGGACUUAGUGGCGCAGUUAACGCGAUAAGUCGACCGCCUGGGGAGUACGGCCGCAAGGUUAAAACUCAAAUGAAUUGACGGGGGCCCGCACAAGCGGUGGAGCAUGUGGUUUAAUUCGAUGCAACGCGAAGAACCUUACCUACCCUUGACAUCCUGCGAAUUUGGUAGAGAUACCUUAGUGCCUUCGGGAGCGCAGUGACAGGUGCUGCAUGGCUGUCGUCAGCUCGU
rnacentral:rRNA from 1 species